GAAUAUUGGACAAUGGGGGCAACCCUGAUCCAGCCAUGCAGCGUGUGUGAAGAAGGCCUUUUGGUUGUAAAGCACUUUAAGCAGGGAAGAAGACUCCAUGGUUAAUACCCAUGCACGAUGACAUUAGCUGCAGAAUAAGACCCGGCUAACGCUGUUCCCGCAACCGCGGUAAUACAGAGGGUGCAAGCGUUAAUCGGAAUUACUGGGCGUAAAGCGAGCGUAGGUGGAUUGAUAAGUCAGAUGUGAAAUCCCCGGGCUUAACCUGGGAACUGCAUCUGAUACCGUUAGGCUAGAAUAGGUGAGAGGAAGGUAGAAUUCCAGGUGUAGCGGUGAAAUGCGUAGAGAUCUGGAGGAAUACCGAUGGCGAAGGCAGCCUUCUGGCAUCAUAUUGACACUGAGGUUCGAAAGCGUGGGUAGCAAAC
rnacentral:rRNA from 1 species